UUGGUGGGGCCUUUGUUAGCAAAGUAUGGCUGUAUUACAAAUAUGUGCGUGAGAUUCCAUUUGCUCUGACGGGUUCACUUAAUCUUGCAAAAGCAACAUCAGAGGGAAACACUGUCAUCCUGUUUGUGGCUCGUGCAAAUGAUAAAUAGUGGCAGGUAACCCAGCAAACUCUGAAAGUCAUUCUCGAUUCCUUCCAAGUGUAGAUCUUUGUCAACCACAAGACAAGAAGGUUUUAUUUAUAAUUCAUUUAUUUGGAAUUUGUAUAGAUACAAUGAGAUCUGAAAAGGAGUAAUAUGUUAUCAACUAUUGCCGGUUC